rnacentral:rRNA from 1 species
UACGGAGGGUGCGAGCGUUGUCCGGAAUCAUUGGGCGUAAAGGGCGCGUAGGUGGCCCGGUCAGUCUUUGGUGAAAGCGCGGGGCUCAACCCUGCGUCGGCCAGGGAUACUGCCGCGGCUCGAGCACUGUAGAGGCAGGCGGAAUUCCGGGUGUAGCGGUGGAAUGCGUAGAGAUCCGGAAGAACACCGGUGGCGAAGGCGGCCUGCUGGGCAGUUGCUGACACUGAGGCGCGACAGCGUGGGAGCAAACAGG